rnacentral:rRNA from 1 species
UAAUCUUAAGGUUGAUAAUAGUAUUUGUGUUGUUAAAUAGAU